AGAGCCCCUCCAUUCAGCGUUUAAAAAAGACGUGGGGACGGGUGUCCAGGAGGAACUGCCAAAAAUUUAAAACCUUGUGCAAAACGGACCAGCGGGAGAGCAGGAAGCUGCUCAUGGAGGAGGUGAACUCUGUGUGGGCCACCCAAGAGAUGGACCCCCAGGGAGCCCAGGAGAGGCAGCAGCAGCAGGGUGUCGUCCCCUUCCUGGGCACGUUCCUC